rnacentral:rRNA from 1 species
CCAGACUCCUACGGGAGGCAGCAGUGAGGAAUAUUGGUCAAUGGCCGAGAGGCUGAACCAGCCAAGUCGCGUGAGGGAAGACGGCCCUACGGGUUGUAAACCUCUUUUGUCGGGGAGCAAAGAGAGUCACGUGUGACUCAUUGAGAGUACCCGAAGAAAAAGCAUCGGCUAACUCCGUGCCAGCAGCCGCGGUAAUACGGAGGAUGCGAGCGUUAUCCGGAUUUAUUGGGUUUAAAGGGUGCGCAGGCGGAGGCACAAGGCAGGGUAAAAACCGGGGGGCCAACCCCCGCUCCGCCGUUGAAACUGUGUCCCUUGAGUGCGCGAAGGGUAGGCGGAAUGCGUGGUGUAGCGGUGAAAUGCAUAGAUAUCACGCAGAACUCCGAUCGCGAAGGCAGCCUACCGGCGCGCAACUGACGCUCAUGCACGAAAGCGUGGGUAUCGAACAGGAUUAGAUACCCUCGUA